GUAAGCUCUGUCUGCAUAUUAUUACUCAUUCCACAUUUUGCUGCUUUUCUAUAUUACAGUAAACUAUAGAAGCAGAUGUCUGUACCAAAAAUGAAAGAUGCUGCUAUGGUCAGAAAAUGGUGGUGCCAAUAUACUUCCUCUGCCUAACCUACUCCAUGUUCCCAUAAAGGUUACACUGUGAAAACAAGGAACAGCAGAACACAGGAGGUAGACACAGGAAAAUAUGAAUGUCAAGAUCAUUCUAAGCAUGUCUAUGAACUGACUGAGUCCAUUUCAAAGGAAAGGUAAUAUAUGGUCUGUGCUAUUUUAUACUGGAAGUAGGUAACUUGCCUUUGAUUUUAUAA
rnacentral:lncRNA from 1 species